GAGCUUCGUUUCUUUCCUUCUCCCCUGAAUUUACAAUAAGUUUUUAUGAUUGAUCUGUGUGCUCAUGUCAUGUUGCGACAAGCCAGUUUCCUAAGUAAUCUAACAGUUCACUGACCUGAAAUCUGAUAAACAACUUUCAUAACGGAGUAACAUCUCGGCGCCAUGGAGCUGACACAACAAAUCUGGGUCACCACAGUAAGAGAAGGUUUCUCAGUCAGCCCUCCCUAUAUACCCCCUGUCUGAGCCCAGAGGAGAAGAGGUCUUUUACCUCUUUGUGCUCAUUUUUGGAACCCUUUCCCCCACCUCCGUCCAUCCUACAUACCUUUACCUUGCAUUCCUCUCCCGACCUUUAACAUCUUACCUCCUACAUUCCUGUUCAAUUGUCUUCCAUUCUCAUGGUGUUCUUUUGACUUGUUCCUUCUUUUGUCUUCACAUUUCUCUUCUUCUCUUUUCUCCUCUCUUCUCCUUUUUCUCUUCUCUUCUUGUGUCUGAACUUUUUCUCUUUUCUACUCCUCUUCACAUUUAAUCUCUGUCUCGAUCCAUAGUGUAACUUCCCCACAAAACAUCUGCAUCCUCUUCUCUGUCCAUCACUAAUUCAUGAUGAGGAAACCACAAAACGUUCUGCUGCUGGCCUGUGUGGUCAUCAGCUCUUUGACCGUAUUCUACCUGGGCCUCAGCACCAUGGAAUGCCCAAGUCGUGGCCACUGGCACGGCAGCCACGGCAGGCGCUACUCCUGGACCUCCCUGAACCUGGGCCAGAACAUGAGCGGCCCGCAGAUCCCGCUGGAGUACAACGAGAACACACCGCUCAUCUUCGUUGGCGGCGUCCCGAGGAGCGGCACCACACUGAUGCGUGCCAUGCUGGACGCCCACCCGAUGGUGCGCUGCGGUGAGGAGACGCGCGUCAUCCCACGCCUGCUUGCCAUGCACUCCACCUGGAGCCGGUCGGCUCGCGAGCGCAUGCGGCUAGACGAGGCCGGCGUCACCGAUGAGGUACUGGACGCCGCCAUCCGCGCCUUCCUGCUUGAGGUGAUUGUGGGCCAUGGUGAGCCGGCGCCGCGCCUGUGCAACAAGGACCCCUUCACCCUGAAAUCGCUCUCCUACCUGAGCCACCUGUUCCCGCGCGCCAAGUUCGUGCUGAUGCUGCGCGAUGGCCGCGCCACCGUGCACUCCAUGAUCUCGCGCCGCGUCACCAUCACAGGCUUUGACCUGAGCAGUUACCGCGACUGCCUGGUGAAGUGGAGCCGGGCGGCGGAGAGUAUGUAUGACCAGUGCCGCGAGGCCGGCGAGGAGAGGUGCAUGUUGCUGCGCUACGAGCAGCUGGUCCUGCAGCCGCAGCAGGCCAUGCAGAGGCUGCUGCACUUCCUUGACCUGCCCUGGGACACGGCCGUGCUCCACCACGAGCAGCUCAUUGGGAAAGCCGGCGGAGUGUCACUGUCUAAGACAGAGCGCUCCACAGACCAAGUGAUGAAUCCGGUCAACACGGAGGCCUUGGUGAAGUGGGUUGGCAAGAUCCCGGCUGAUGUGUUGAAGGAUAUGGCGGACAUCGCGCCCAUGCUGAGCAGACUCGGCUACGACCCUCAAGCCAACCCCCCUGAUUACACCAAACUACAGGAGCCCUCACAUGGGAACAGUACUCUACUGGUGAGGGACAGUGUGGCGUCACAUCUUGAAAGAGUUCUAAAAAAUUUGAUGCAAGAUGCACAGAACUGUGGAAAGUCCUGAUCCCAGUUAGGACUGAUGCACAGCUGACAAUCAUGAUGAUAACCAGUAUUGACCUGCAGUUCUGUCCGGCGACCCCUAUGGGAGGUUGGUUUCUGCCUCUUGUCAUGGCUAUGUUCAUUGGAUGCCAAUGAUUUUUGGAGAGGAACCCAGCUGCCUAUUUCCAUUUGUUGAGGAUAUGAUUUUCAACAUAGCCAGCAUUCAUAAAUUACAUGUAAAGAAAUGCUGUCAUAAGCACAGGUGAUACAAUUAACUUGGUGUUAAUGAAUGUCAUUCAAAUAUGUACAUUUCCAUAUCAGGAUGGUCAUGGAACCUCAAGUGCAAGAUGUGCCAUAUUUCUGUGAGCAUAAAUAUUUUCGUGCUGUUUGUCUUCAAUUUAACUUUUGUGAUAAAAUACAUCUAUAUUCAUUACCAAUACAAAUAGUACAUCAUGUCAGACUUCAUAGUGUGUUGGUCUUUGUUUUUUGUUUUUCUGUGGAGCAGACAAUGAUGUGAUCUCAGAGAUAAUUUAUUAAAGAGAGAUUUAUUUUUCAAAUGUGUUGUAUGUAUUUCUAUUAAAUGUCUUUUUGUUCA